UGGAGUUAACACAUAUACCUUGAUCAGCAAGGCUGGGAAAGCAGUGUAUGUGAAAUUUCACUGGAAGACCGUGAGUGGUGUGAAGUGUCUAUUGGAGGAAGAGGCCAUUAAGGUGGGAGGAGCCAACCAUAGCCAUGCUACUCAAGACCUUCAUGAUUCCAUUGCUGCUGGUAACUAUCCUGAGUGGAAACUGUUCAUUCAGACAAUAGAUCCUGCACACGAAGACAAAUUUGACUUUGACCCUCUUGAUGUAACCAAAACUUGGCCCGAGGACAUUAUACCCUUGCAGCCUGUUGGUCGCUUGGUCCUGAAUAAGAACAUAGAUAACUUCUUCGCCGAGAAUGAGCAACUUGCAUUUUGCCCUGCCAUAGUGGUUCCUGGUGUAUAUUAC
rnacentral:lncRNA from 1 species